ensembl:lncRNA novel transcript
UGUAGGGUCCCCCUCAUCUGCCUUACACCCUGGAAGAAACAGAGGCCUCUGACCUCACUCUUUCCUAAAGAGCAGCUCUUUCAAUCAACAGACUUUCACUGGAACACCUACCUUGCACCAACUAUUCUGAAUUCAGAGUCCAUCUCUUCUCUCUGGGAAUGUACAGGCUACCGAGACAGAACCAUGGAAACAAAACUGGAAUGAAAUAUGAUUACUGUAAUAGAGAUCCCCCAAAAGGAAGACCACAGAGAAGAGGAGUGAGUGAGAAGGUUCCAAGAACCAACUCUCCCUCCAAACUCACCAGCCAAGUACCUAAACCCAUAUCAGCAUAGA